rnacentral:tRNA from 1 species
UCCUCGGUAGCUCAACGGCAGAGCAGAUUCCUGUUAAGAAUAAGGUCGCACGUUCGAAUCGUGCCCGAGGAG